GUGCCAGUUCAGAAUCCUUCCCUCUUUCAUCCGCCCUCAGCCCUUUAUGUAGGCUUAUGGAUUGAAAUUAGCUGCUCCAAUCAUGUCAAGCUAUAGAGUUUCAACUUGGGAUUUAGUGCCAUCGUCCAUUUGAUGAAAUUCUAUUGACUAGAGAUGUUGAUUGCGAUGGGAUCAUGAUGUUACACUACACCACAAAAAGGUUUUCGCAGCGGCCAAAAAACGUUGCAAAAGAUCUUUUGCAGCAUUUUGACGUGUAUUACAAAGGUCGAUGUUGUCGUUGAGGAAAGAGUUUUUGCAACGUUUAACAAACGUUGCAAAAGAUAGGUUUUAUGCCAGUGUCUCGAGUCGUCUCAUCACCUUCUUGAUUUAUUGGUCUAAGUAGCGUUAUCGUAUAGGGAAGAUAUUUGUUCUGUUGCAUUAGUAUGAUACUUCCUUAUGAUGUCUUUCAUAGUUCGACUCGAACCUCCAUCGAUUGAGUGUUUGCCCAAAGCGUCGAGCUAACCUUUUUAAAUCCUUUGAUAGACUAAAUUCAUUGACCGUGUGAAAGAGGGUUCAAGCUAAUUCGACUUGGGAUCUUAGGUCGACAACAAGAAGGUUGGUCAUGCCUCAAUCUAUCCAUGCAACUUUUACACUUUUCAACUUAAUGUUGACCAAGUUUAAGACAUUGUCAUU
rnacentral:lncRNA from 1 species